UAAGGAGGGGGCUAGCGUUAUUCGGAAUUACUGGGCGUAAAGCGCACGUAGGCGGAACAGAAAGUCAGAGGUGAAAUACCAGGGCUCAACCUUGGAACUGCCUUUGAAACUCCUGUUCUUGAGGUCGAGAGAGGUGAGUGGAAGUCCGAGUGUAGAGGUGAAAUUCGUAGAUAUUCGGAGGAACACCAGUGGCGAAGGCGGCUCACUGGCUCGAUACUGACGCUGAAGUGCGAAAGCGUGGGGAGCAAACAGG
rnacentral:rRNA from 1 species